CUAUGCGCCUUGCCAGCCCGCUCAGUCAGAGUUUGAUCCUGGCUCAGAAUGAACGCUGGCGGCAGGCCUAACACAUGCAAGUCGAACGGAGUUAUAUUGUAGCUUGCUAUGGUAUAACUUAGUGGCAGACGGGUGAGUAAUGUAUAGGAAUCUACCUAGUAGUACGGAAUAAUUGUUGGAAACGGCAACUAAUACCGUAUACGCCCUACGGGGGAAAAAUUUAUUGCUAUUAGAUGAGCCUAUAUUAGAUUAGCUAGUUGGUGGAGUAAUAGCCUACCAAGGCAAUGAUCUAUAGCUGAUCUGAGAGGACGGUCCAG
rnacentral:rRNA from 1 species